UUCGCAAUGCCCGAAAGGGUGACGAAGCGACGCCGCGUGUGGGAAGAAGGCCUUCGGGUUGUAAACCACUGUCGGGAGUUAAGAAAUGCAAGAAUGUUAAUAGCGUUUUUGCUUGACUAAGGCUCCGGAGGAAGCCACGGCUAACUCUGUGCCAGCAGCCGCGGUAAUACAGAGGCGGCAAACGUUGUUCGGAAUUAUUGGGCGUAAAGAGCACGUAGGCGGCUAUAUAAGUCGGUUGUGAAAGCCUUCCGCUCAACGGGAGAACAGCAUCCGAUACUGUGUGGCUUGAGUGUGGGAGGGGAGAGCGGAACUUCUGGUGGAGCGGUGAAAUGCGUAGAUAUCAGAAGGAACGCCGGCGGCGAAAGCGGCUCUCUGGCCCAUAACUGACGCUGAGUGUGCGAAAGCUAGGGGAGCAAACGGGAUUAGAUACCCCGGUAGUCCUAGCCGUAAACGAUGGGCACUAAGUAGAGGGGUUUU
rnacentral:rRNA from 1 species